rnacentral:rRNA from 1 species
UACGUAGGGGGCAAGCGUUGUCCGGAAUCAUUGGGCGUAAAGAGCGUGUAGGCGGCCCGAUAAGUCCGCUGUGAAAGUCCAGGGCUCAACCCUGGGAUGCCGGUGGAUACUGUCGGGCUCGAGUCCGGAAGAGGAGUGUGGAAUUCCUGGUGUAGCGGUGAAAUGCGCAGAUAUCAGGAGGAACACCAGUGGCGAAGGCGGUGGUCUGGGCCGGAACUGACGCUGAGGAGCGAAAGCGUGGGUAGCAAACAGG